ensembl:miRNA gmo-let-7g-1 gmo-let-7g-1
UGAGGUAGUAGUUUGUAUAGUUUUAGGAUCACACCAGAUCUGGGAGAUAACUAUACAGUCUACUGUCUUUCU